CUCUCCAUCCCUCGCUCAACGCACCCUGCAGAACUAAGCCACUGCCAAUAUCGAGGCCCAAUGGGCACAACCCGACUAUUCGACCAGAGAAGGCAUCUCCCCCUCCAAAACUACUCCACAAUCUGAAAACUCUCUCCGACACCACCGACCAUUCAGAACACCAUCGAAUUCACAGUAAACAACAGAAACAUAAUAGAAUCAAUGAAAGACUGCACCCAACAGGAUGGAUAAACCAGCAAUGUGCAAAAGAACUUGAACUUGAAAACAACAAAUGCAUCUGUGAUAAUAAACAUGAUACUGAUUCUUGAUCAAUCACAGAUGUUGGAAAUCCAGAGCAACAUACCCAAAUUGCUGAAGGAACUCAGCAGGUCAGGCAGCAUCUAUGGAGAGGAAUAAAGAGUUGACAUUUUGGGCUGAGACCCUUCAUCAGUCCCAUAUUGUGCUGUUCUGCUUAAUGUAUGGUGCUAUCAUCUACGAGUUUAUGUUCAUGGUCUUCUGCUGCUGUAGCCCAUCCACUUCAAGGUUCGAAGAGUUGUGCAUUCAGAGAUGUUGCCCACAGAACUGUUGUUCACUGGAUUUUUUUUGGUUUUCACACCAUUCUCUGUAAACUCUAGAAACUGUUGUUUGUGAAAAUCCCAAGAGAUCGGCAGUUUCUGAGAAACUCAAACCACCCUGUCUGGCACCAACAAUCAUUCCACGGUCAAGGUCACCGACAGCACAUUUCAAAGUACAAAGUACAGUUAUUAUCAAAGUAUGUAUACAUUAUACAACCUUGAGAUCCGUCCCCUUAUUACAGGCAGCCACAAAACAAAUAAACCCAAAAGAACCCAUUAAAAAUAGACUAUCAAACACCCAAUGUGGAGGAAGGAAAAAAACAAAUUAUUCAAAGAACAAAUGCAAGCAAAUAGCGUUCCGAGAUAAAGUGCACGAAGUGACUCUUGUCACAGACCCUUAGUUCAGUGCAGAGCAGAGCAGCAAACUGAACCAGCUCAACCCUCACCUCAGGCCCCAACACCCUGACCUUUUCAAUCUAGGCCUGCAUUGAAAUCAUCAUUCAAACACUGGGUUC